rnacentral:rRNA from 1 species
CCUACGGGAGGCUGCAGUAGGGAAUUUUCGUCAAUGGGCGCAAGCCUGAACGAGCAAUGCCGCGUGAACGAGGAAGGUCUUCGGAUCGUAAAGUUCUGUUGAAGGGGAAAAAGAGCGGAGAGAGGAAAUGGUCUCCGAUUGAUAUUACCCUUCGAGGAAGUCACGGCUAACUACGUGCCAGCAGCCGCGGUAAUACGUAGGUGGCGAGCGUUAUCCGGAAUGAUUGGGCGUAAAGGGUGCGUAGGCGGCCUGCUAAGUCUGGAGUGAAAGGUACCGGCUCAACCGGUACAGGCUCUGGAAACUGGCGGGCUAGAGAGAAGGAGAGGGCGGUGGAACGCCAUGUGUAGCGGUAAAAUGCGAAGAUAUAUGGAAGAACACCAGUGGCGAAGGCGGCCGCCUGGCCUGUUGACUGACGCUGAGGCACGAAAGCGUGGGGAGCAAAUAGGAUUAGAUACCCGGGUAGUC